rnacentral:rRNA from 1 species
CGUAGGGAGCAAGCGUUGUUCGGAUUUACUGGGCGUAAAGGGCGCGUAGGCGGCAAAUUAAGUCAGCUGUGAAAUCUCCGAGCUUAACUCGGAACGGUCAGCUGAUACUGAUCUGCUAGAGUGCGGAAGGGGCAAUCGGAAUUCUUGGUGUAGCGGUGAAAUGCGUAGAUAUCAAGAGGAACACCUGAGGUGAAGACGGGUUGCUGGGCCGACACUGACGCUGAGUGCGCGAAAGCCAGGGGAGCAAACGGGAUUAGAUACCCCGGUAGUCCUGGCCUUAAACGAUGGAAUACUUGGUGUCUGGAGUCUCUAUAGCUCCGGGUGCCGUCGCUUAACGUUUUAGUAUUCCGCCUGGGGAGUACGCACGCAAGUGUG